UGCGUCCUACUAGCUUGUUGGUGGGGUAACGGCCUACCAAGGCUCCGAUGGGUAGCGGGCGUGAGAGCGUGGCCCGUCACACUGGGACUGAGACACUGCCCAGACACCUACGGGUGGCUGCAGUCGAGAAUCUUCGGCAAUGGACGAAAGUCUGACCGAGCGAUGCCGCGUGCGGGAUGAAGGCCUUCGGGUUGUAAACCGUGAAAGUAAGGAGGAAGGCGCUGUGAAGAGCAGCGUUUGACCGAUUUACAGUAAGGACGGGCUAAGUUCGUGCCAGCAGCCGCGGUAACACGAACCGUCCAAACGUUAUUCGGAAUUAUUGGGCUUAAAGGGUGCGUAGGCGGCGUGUUAAGUCGGGUGUGAAAUCCCACA
rnacentral:rRNA from 14 species